GCUCCGUUAGCUCAAAAGCAGAGCCCCCGGCCGAUAACCGGAAGACACUGGCGCGAUACCAGUACGGAGCACCA
rnacentral:tRNA from 1 species